GAUGAACGCUGGCGGCGUGCCUAAUACAUGCAAGUCGAACGAAACUUCUUUAUCACCGAGUGCUUGCACUCACCGAUAAAGAGUUGAGUGGCGAACGGGUGAGUAACACGUGGGCAACCUGCCCAAAAGAGGGGGAUAACACUUGGAAACAGGUGCUAAUACCGCAUAACCAUAGUUACCGCAUGGUAACUAUGUAAAAGGUGGCUAUACUACCGCUUUUGGAUGGGCCCGCGGCGCAUUAGCUAGUUGGUAGGGUAAAGGCUUACCAAGGCAAUGAUGCGUAGCCGAAUUGAGAGGUUGAUCGGCCACAUUGGGACUGAGACACGGCCCAAACUCCUACGGGAGGCAGCAGUAGGGAAUCUUCCACAAUGGGCGAAAGCCUGAUGGAGCAACGCCGCGUGGUGAAGAAGGUCUUCGGAUCGUAAAACCCUGUUGUUAGAGAAGAAAGUGCGUGAGAGUAACUGUUCACGUUUCGACGGUAUCUAACCAGAAAGCCACUGCUAACUACGUG
rnacentral:rRNA from 1 species